rnacentral:lncRNA from 1 species
UGUGUGGCUGAGGGAGACUAUGGAUGACAGAGAAAAUGUUAGAGUGAGAGAGAUGAAAGAGAAAGGGUUGAGAGGAAUGAGGGAGGUGAGGAUGGGUUUGGGGGUUUGAUUUUUUUUUUUUAGUUUUGAGAAUGAAAAUUAUUUAAAUAUCGUUGACCUUAAAACGUAGAAUCCAUGAUAAAUGAGGGUAUUUUUGUCUACUAUAAUCCGGUACACAUUGUUAAAACGUACCAACUCAAAAACAA